GCUCGUGGAUAGCUCAGUUGGUACAGCAUGAGACUCUUAAUUUCAGGGUCGAGGGUUCAAGCCCCACGUUGGGCA
rnacentral:tRNA from 1 species